rnacentral:rRNA from 1 species
GUCAAGUCAGCAUGACCCUUAUGUCCUGGGCGACACACACGCUACAAUGGCCGGUACAAAGGGCAGCCAAGCGGUAACGCGGAGCCAAUCCCAGAAAGCCGGUCGUAGUUCGGAUUGCAGGCUGCAACUCGCCUGCAUGAAGCCGGAGUUGCUAGUAACCGCGCAUCAGCAGUGGCGCGGUGAAUACGUUCCCGGGCCUU